rnacentral:rRNA from 1 species
GACGAACGCUGGCGGCGUGCUUAACACAUGCAAGUCGAACGGAAAGGCCCUGCUUUUGUGGGGUGCUCGAGUGGCGAACGGGUGAGUAACACGUGAGUAACCUGCCCUUGACUUUGGGAUAACUUCAGGAAACUGGGGCUAAUACCGGAUAGGAGCUCCUGCUGCAUGGUGGGGGUUGGAAAGUUUCGGCGGUUGGGGAUGGACUCGCGGCUUAUCAGCUUGUUGGUGGGGUAGUGGCUUACCAAGGCUUUGACGGGUAGCCGGCCUGAGAGGGUGACCGGCCACAUUGGGACUGAGAUACGGCCCAGACUCCUACGGGAGGCAGCAGUGGGGAAUAUUGCACAAUGGGCGGAAGCCUGAUGCAGCAACGCCGCGUGCGGGAUGACGGCCUUCGGGUUGUAAACCGCUUUCGCCUGUGACGAAGCGCGAGUGAUGGUAAUGGGUAAAGAAGCACCGGCUAACUACGUG